CCCACAACCCAACACCAAUUACCCAUUAUUAAUAACCCCUAAAACACGAAACAAAAUAAACAAAUCAUUUUUCCCUUAUAGUAUAUGAGAUAGAAAAUAAGCUUUGGAGUAACAGAACAAGUACCGCAAGGGAACGCUGAAAAAGAAAUGAAAAACCAGUAAAGCAAAGAAAAGCAGAGACCAAAACUCGUACCUUUUGCAUCAUGAAUUAGCCAGUAACCUUUAAGCAAAAUGAAUUUUAGUUUAAACCCCCGAAACUAAGUGAGCUACUCCAAGACAGCCUAAAUAUAGGGCAAACCCGUCUCUGUGGCAAAAGAGUGGGAAGAGCUUUGAGUAGAGGUGAUAAACCUACCGAACUUAGUAAUAGCUGGUUGCCUGAUAAAUGAAUAGAAGUUCAGCCUAUUAACUUUUUAUCUCCCAACUGGCUCACCCUAAAAGCUAAAUAUCAAGAAGUUAAUAGAGUUAAUUAAAGGGGGUACAGCCCCUUUAAAAAAAGACACAACUUUAACAGAAGGUAAAAGAUUAAAAUUAACUUAAGGCAUUAUGUUUUAGUGGGCCUAAAAGCAGCCACCCUAGAAGAAAGCGUUACAGCUCAAACAUAACUCCAACCAAUAAUACUAAUAACUUACUCUUACACCUCUUUAAAACCUACCAGGCCUUUCUAUAAAAUAUAGAAGCGAUUAUGCUAAUAUGAGUAAUAAGAGGCUACAACCUCUCCCCGCACAAGUGUAAAUCAUAACAGACAAACUACUGAACAUUAACGACUCCAAAUAAAGAGGAUAUUAGAUUAUAUAUAAAGAACUAGAAAACUCUCUAAUAACUAACCGUUAACCCCACACUGGUGUGCCCCCCGGAAAGACUAAAAGAAAAAGAAGGAACUCGGCAAACAUAAAACCAAGCCUUGCCUGUUUACCAAAAACACCGCCUCUUGCAAUAAACGAAUAAGAGGUCCCGCCUGCCCUGUGACUCUAGUUUAACGGCCGCGGUAUUUUGACCGUGCAAAGGUAGCGCAAUCACUUGUCUUUUAAAUGAAGACCUGUAUGAAUGGCAUAACGAGGGCUUAACUGUCUCCUUUUUCCAGUCAAUGAAAUUGAUUUCUCCGUGCAGAAGCUGAGAUAUUUACAUAAGACGAGAAGACCCUAUGGAGCUUAAGACGAAGGGCAGACCAUGUUAAUUAACCUAACCCAAAUAGAUUAAACUAAUUGGCUUUCUGCCUUAAUGUCUUUGGUUGGGGCGACCGCGGGGAAAUAAAAAACCCCCACGUGGAAAAAGAGCACUUUCUCUUACAACCCAGAGUGACAACUCUAAGUAACAGAACUUAUGACCAAAAAUGAUCCGGCAAUGCCGAUCAACGAAUCGAGUUACCCUAGGGAUAACAGCGCAAUCCCCUCCUAGAGCCCAUAUCGACGAGAGGGUUUACGACCUCGAUGUUGGAUCAGGACAUCCUAAUGGUGCAGCCGCUAUUAAGGGUUCGUUUGUUCAACGAUUAAAGUCCUACGUGAUCUGAGUUCAGACCGGAGUAAUCCAGGUCAGUUUCUAUCUAUGAAAUGUCUUCCUCUAGUACGAAAGGACCGAAGAAGAAAGGCCUAUGCUUAAAGCACGCCUUACCCUCACCUGAUGACACCCACUAAAGCAGGCAAAAGAACAUAAUACCUUAUUCGAAUAAAAUGAUAU